rnacentral:rRNA from 1 species
UACGUAGGGAGCGAGCGUUAUCCGGAUUUAUUGGGUGUAAAGGGUGCGUAGACGGGAGAAUAAGUUAGUUGUGAAAUCCCUCGGCUUAACUGAGGAACUGCAACUAAAACUAUUUUUCUUGAGUACUGGAGAGGAAAGUGGAAUUCCUAGUGUAGCGGUGAAAUGCGUAGAUAUUAGGAAGAACAUCGGUGGCGAAGGCGACUUACUGGACUGUAACUGACACUGAGGCACGAAAGCGUGGGGAGCAAACAGG